UCUGCAUGGAGCCGACCUUGAAAUACCACCCUUUAAUGUUUGAUGUUCUAACGUGGACCCGUAAUCCGGGUUGCGGACAGUGUCUGGUGGGUAGUUUGACUGGGGCGGUCUCCUCCUAAAGAGUAACGGAGGAGCACGAAGGUUGGCUAAUCCUGGUCGGACAUCAGGAGGUUAGUGCAAUGGCAUAAGCCAGCUUGACUGCGAGCGUGACGGCGCGAGCAGGUGCGAAAGCAGGUCAUAGUGAUCCGGUGGUUCUGAAUGGAAGGGCCAUCGCUCAACGGAUAAAAGGUACUCCGGGGAUAACAGGCUGAUACCGCCCAAGAGUUCAUAUCGACGGCGGUGUUUGGCACCUCGAUGUCGGCUCAUCACAUCCUGGGGCUGAAGUAGGUCCCAAGGGUAUGGCUGUUCGCCAUUUAAAGUGGUACGCGAGCUGGGUUUAGAACGUCGUGAGACAGUUCGGUCCCUAUCUGCCGUGGGCGCUGGAGAACUGAGGGGGGCUGCUCCUAGUACGAGAGGACCGGAGUGGACGCAUCACUGGUGUUCGGGUUGUCAUGCCAAUGGCACUGCCCGGUAGCUAAAUGCGGAAGAGAUAAGUGCUGAAAGCAUCUAAGCACGAAACUUGCCCCGAGAUGAGUUCUCCCUGAGACUUAGAGUCUCCUGAAGGAACGUUGAAGACGACGACGUUGAUAGGCCGGGUGUGUAAGCGCAGCGAUGCGUUGAGCUAACCGGUACUAAUGAACCGUGAGGCUUAACCUUAC
rnacentral:rRNA from 1 species